rnacentral:rRNA from 1 species
GACGAACGCUGGCGGCGUGCUUAACACAUGCAGGUCGAACGGUAAGGCCCUUCGGGGUACACGAGUGGCGAACGGGUGAGUAACACGUGGGUGAUCUGCCCUGCACUUCGGGAUAAGCCUGGGAAACUGGGUCUAAUACCGGAUAGGACUCCGGACUGCAUGGUCUGGGGUGGAAAGCUUUUGCGGUGUGGGAUGGGCCCGCGGCCUAUCAGCUUGUUGGUGGGGUGAUGGCCUACGAAGGCGACGACGGGUAGCCGGCCUGAGAGGGUGACCGGCCACACUGGGACUGAGAUACGGCCCAGACUCCUACGGGAGGCAGCAGUGGGGAAUAUUGCACAAUGGGCGCAAGCCUGAUGCAGCGACGCCGCGUGAGGGAUGACGGCCUUCGGGUUGUAAACCUCUUUCAGCAUCGACGAAGCGAAAGUGACGGUAGGUGCAGAAGAAGGACCGGCCAACUACGUGCCAGCAGCCGCAGUAA